rnacentral:rRNA from 1 species
UUGAGGCAACGCCUGCCCAGUGAACAAUUAAACGGCCGCGGUACACUAACCGUGCAAAGGUAGCAUAAUAAUUUGUCUACUAAUUAUAGACCUGCAUGAAAGGCAAAAUGAGGGCUUGACUGUCUCUUAUAGUAAAUCAAUUAAACUGAUCUCCUAGUAAAAAAGCUAGAAUUAUCACAUAAGACCAGAAGACCCUGUGAAGCUUAAACUAAACUAUUAAACCAAAUAAUAGCUACUUUAGGUUGGGGCGACCUUGGAAAAAGAAUAACUUCCAAAAGUCUAACGACAUAAACAGGCCGACAAGCCAAUAACGACCCAGCAACGCUGAAAAUUGAACCAAGUUACUCCAGGGAUAACAGCGCAAUCUUCUUCAAGAGCCCAUAUCAAAAAGAAGGUUUACGACCUCGAUGUUGGAUCAGGACAUCCUAAUGGUGCAGAAGCUAUUAAGGGUUCGUUUGUUCAACGAUUAAUGUCCUACGUGAUCUGAGUUCAGACCGGA